UACAGAGGGUGCGAGCGUUAAUCGGAAUUACUGGGCGUAAAGCGCGCGUAGGCGGCUAUGUAAGUCGGAUGUGAAAUCCCCGGGCUUAACCUGGGAACUGCAUUCGAGACUGCAUGACUAGAGUAUGGGAGAGGGCAGUGGAAUUUCAGGUGUAGCGGUGAAAUGCGUAGAUAUCUGAAGGAACAUCAGUGGCGAAAGCGACUGCCUGGCCCAAUACUGACGCUCAUGUGCGAAAGCGUGGGGAGCAAACAGG
rnacentral:rRNA from 1 species